AUCCAGUUGACGAGUAUCGAAUAGGACGAAACGCGCGUCAAACUGGAU
rfam:Schistosoma mansoni strain Puerto Rico chromosome 5, complete genome